GGGGGUAUAGCUCAAUGGUAGAGUAUGUGCUUAGAAUGCACACAGCCUUGAGUUCAAUCCCCAGCACCAAUA
rnacentral:tRNA from 1 species